AAUAAACGCUGGCGGCGUGCCUAACACAUGCAAGUCGAGCGAGAAAGCUCCUUCGGGAGUUAGUAAAGCGGCGAACGGGUGAGCAACACGUGAGAAUCUACCCUUUAGUGAAGAAUACCCUCGAGAAAUCGAGGCUAAUACUGCAUACGUCCCCUUCGGGGAGAAAGAUGGCCUCUUUGCUAUCGCUAAAGGAUGAGCUUGCGUACUAUUAGCUAGUUGGCGGGGUAAAGGCCCACCAAGGCCAAUGAUGGUUAACCGGCCUGAGAGGGUGUACGGUCACACCUGGAACUUAGACACGGUCCAGACUCCUACGGGAGGCAGGCAGUGAGGAAUCUUGCGCAAUGGGCAAAGCCUGACGCAGCGACGCCGCGUGGAGGAUGACGGUUUUCGGAUUGUAAACUCCUGUUAAGCGGGAAGAAAGCCUUGUUUCUAAUACAAGCAAGGUAUGACGGUACCGCUAGAGAAAGCACCGGCUAACUUCGUGCCAGCAGCCGCGGUAAAGUGCGCG
rnacentral:rRNA from 1 species